rnacentral:rRNA from 1 species
UACGUAGGGGGCAAGCGUUGUCCGGAUUUAUUGGGCGUAAAGAGCGUGUAGGCGGCCAUACAGGUCCGUUGUGAAAACUGGAGGCUUAACCUCCAGACGUCGAUGGAAACCGUAUGGCUAGAGUCCGGAAGAGGAGAGUGGAAUUCCUGGUGUAGCGGUGAAAUGCGCAGAUAUCAGGAAGAACACCCGUGGCGAAGGCGGGUCUCUGGGCAACAACUGACGCUGAGGAGCGAAAGCGUGGGGAGCGAACAGG